rnacentral:rRNA from 1 species
AUGACAGAUCGCAUGAUCAGCUUUUGAAAGGCGGCGUAAGCUGUCGCUAAGGGAUGGCCCCGCGGUGCAUUAGCUAGUUGGUAAGGUAACGGCUUACCAAGGCGACGAUGCAUAGCCGAGUUGAGAGACUGAUCGGCCACAUUGGGACUGAGACACGGCCCAAACUCCUACGGGAGGCAGCAGUAGGGAAUCUUCCACAAUGGACGCAAGUCUGAUGGAGCAACGCCGCGUGAGUGAAGAAGGUUUUCGGAUCGUAAAGCUCUGUUGUUGGUGAAGAAGGAUAGAGGUAGUAACUGGCCUUUAUUUGACGGUAAUCAACCAGAAAGUCACGGCUAACUACGUGCCAGCAGCCGCGGUAAUACGUAGGUGGCAAGCGUUGUCCGGAUUUAUUGGGCGUAAAGCGAGCGCAGGCGGAAAAAUAAGUCUAAUGUGAAAGCCCUCGGCUUAACCGAGGAACUGCAUCGGAAACUGUUUUUCUUGAGUGCAGAAGAGGAGAGUGGAACUCCAUGUGUAGCGGUGGAAUGCGUAGAUAUAUGGAAGAACACCAGUGGCGAAGGCGGCUCUCUGGUCUGCAACUGACGCUGAGGCUCGAAAGCAUGGGUAGCGAACAGGAUUAGAUACCCUGGUAGUCCAUGCCGUA